rnacentral:rRNA from 1 species
UUCGUGUGAACAGUGGUUGAUCACGAGUUAGUCGGUCCUAAGUUCAAGGCGAAAGCCGAAAAUUUUCAAGUAAAUGUAAAUUAUUAUAUAAAUGUAAAUUUUUUAACACUUGAAUAAUUUUGAACGAAAGGGAAUACGGUUCCAAUUCCGUAACCUGUUGAGUAUCCGUUUGUUAUUAAAUAUGGGCCUCGUGCUCAUCCUGGCAACAGGAACGACCAUAAAGAAGCCGUCGAGAGGUAUCGGAAGAGUUUUCUUUUCUGUUUUAUAGCCGUACUACCAUGGAAGUCUUUCGCAGAGAGAUAUGGUAGAUGGGCUAGAAGAGCAUGACAUAUACUGUUGUGUCGAUAUUUUCUCCUCGGACCUUGAAAAUUUAUGGUGGGGAUACGCAAACUUCUCAACAGGCCGUACCAAUAUCCGCAGCUGGUCUCCAAGGUGAAGAGUCUCUAGUCGAUAGAAUA